AUGCAAGCUAUCGCUGACUGCCUAACGUCUUAUAGUUGGGCUACCAAGAGAAAUCCUAGACAUUCAUUUAAAGCAAGGAUUUGGUGACACGUUUCUUCUUUUAGCAGUUUAUCCCUCAGACCAACCUGGCUCUUGCCACUCUUAUUUUGAUAUGUCUACUCCUGGUCUGUUCAACAGACCCAUGAUAAGAUGUGCUCCUGGAUUACAAGCAUUAUAUAUGUCCCUCUAACACACACACACAUACACACACACACACACAGCAGUGGAACAGGAAAGAAUGCCACUAAUUUUUCUUAUCUACCCACAAGGCCAAGCCCUGACCUGGAUUUCCAUUUGUGAUGAUUCAGUAUGGGUUCUGGGUUGGCUGAACUAAGCUGAGUUCAGUCUGUUUGGCACAGUCCUAUCCAGCCUGGCUUGAAACUCUUAACUCCAUUUCAGUCCUGUGCAGAAGCUUCAAUAGACUGCCAGGGGAGCUAAUGAUACCAGCAGUCCUUUAAGGAAAGCAAAGUCUUUCUUCUUAAAAUCCACCAGCCUCUCCAAAACUAAAAGCAUAUAUGCCUGUGCCUCUAGGAAUAGCAUAAAAUUUCUAUAAAAGUUCUCCCAAGUGAAUAGUGAUGAUUUUGUACUAAAGAUAUGAUAGAGCUGUCAUCCCAGUAGCUCCCAAAUAAGGCUGUAAGCCUAAAAGAGAAAAUUUCCACUGUAAUCCAUUCCUCAAGUUCCUAGAGCAAAGAAAAGGGAAUAUAGAAAAAAUUUUCAUUCAAUGCUGGUAUCAGUUUACAAAAUAUUUUUACAUGGGAUGGACAAUAAUUUACACUCUCCUCCUGAUGUAACUGAUGUAAGACAGCACUUCAGUGAACUGAGAAAUACCCAAAGCUUUUCCUAAGACUAUAAUAUUAAAAUUUUGUUUUAAUUCCUAAAAUAAACUUAAACAUGUUUAAACAGUGUCUUCUAUUGUAGUUUACAGUCACCACUUGAUGUGGGAAGGGAGCCAGAGAGACUCAGAG
rnacentral:lncRNA from 1 species